ACUCAGUUGACGAGUCUCAAAUAAGAUGAUACGCGUGUCCUGUAU
rnacentral:hammerhead_ribozyme from 1 species